UACAGAGGCCACGAGCGUUAGGCGGAAUCACUGGGCUUAAAGCGUGUGUAGGUGGAUCGGUAAGUACCUUGUAAAAUCCCACGGCUCAACCGUGGAACUGCUUGGUAUACUGCCAGUCUUGAGGCACUCAGGGGCGAGCGGAACAGAUGGUGGAGCGGUGAAAUGCGUAGAUAUCAUCUGGAACGCCAAUGGUGAAGACAGCUCGCUGGGGGUGUACUGACACUGAGACACGAAAGCCAGGGGAGCGAACGGG
rnacentral:rRNA from 2 species